rnacentral:rRNA from 1 species
CCUACGGGUGGCAGCAGUAAGGGAUAUUGGUCAAUGGGGGAAACCCUGAACCAGCAACGCCGCGUGAGGGAAGACGGUUUUCGGAUUGUAAACCUCUGUCCUCUGUGAAGAUGAUGACGGUAGCAGAGGAGGAAGCUCCGGCUAACUACGUGCCAGCAGCCGCGGUAAUACGUAGGGAGCGAGCGUUGUCCGGAUUUACUGGGUGUAAAGGGAGCGCAGGCGGCACGGCAAGCCUGAUGUGAAAGCCCGCGGCCCAACCGCGGGACUGCAUUGGGAACUACCGGGCUGGAGUGCCGGAGAGGUAGGCGGAAUUCCUAGUGUAGCGGUGAAAUGCGUAGAUAUUAGGAGGAACACCAGUGGCGAAGGCGGCCUACUGGACGGUGACUGACGCUGAGGCUCGAAAGCGUGGGGAGCAAACAGGAUUAGAUACCCCUGUAGUC